rnacentral:rRNA from 1 species
UAGGGAAUAUUAGAAAUGGACGAAAGUCUGAUCUAGCAACACCGCGUGUGCGAAGAAGGCCUUCGGGUUGUAAAGCACUUUUUGGAAGGAUUAGGAAGGAAUGUACUUCCAGAACAAGUCUCGGCUACCUACGUGCCAGCAGCCGCGGUAACACGUAGGAGGCAAACGUUAUCCGGAUUUACUGGGCGUAAAGCGCGUGUAGGUGGUUCUGUAAGUAGGGCGUGAAAGCUCCUGGCUCAACUGGGAGAGGCCGUUCUAAACUGCAGAGCUAGAGGAUGGGAGAGGGAGGUUGAAUUCCGGGUGUAGCGGUGGAAUGCGCAGAUAUCCGGAGGAACACCAGUGGCGAAAGCGGCCUCCUGGACCAUUCCUGACACUCAGACGCGAAAGCUAGGGUAGCAAACG